CAGAAGAGGAAACAGGCUCACAGAACUCGGGACCCUCACUAAAGCCUCAAGCAGAGGUGAUCACCUGCAUAUCUGCCAUUAUGGACUACCCUGAGGGUGCUGUCCAGAGCAAAGCUAUGAGAAGCACGCAAUGAAUAAAACGAGGAGAAAAUUAUGAGCCCCAAGAAAAACACGGAGGAAAUGCUCUUAGAGGAGGUUAUCAAAAUGCACCUCGGACUGAAAGGCAAAGACACAGUGAUGCCAUCUCAUCUCAGGGAGCCUGUCCUUUGUUAGGGCAUCUAUUGUUUACACACCUGCUCUUGUUUCCCUGCGGAUAACAGAUCGGUGGCCUCCUCCCUGGUUUUUCCUCUAUUGCUUCUUUCCCUUCCUUUUCAUGGUCUGCCCGCAUCAUGGCACCACCACACCAGAGGCAUGGGGACUUUGCAGAGUGGCUUGGGAGGAGAGCAGGAAUCACUCCUUGCCUGUGGGAACACCUGAAGCACUCUCAGGCAUAGCAACGAGCUCCUUCGGUGUUCUGGCCCUAUUUCUAGUCAGUAAGGCUAACCUUGGUCCACUGCCCAGCAUGGCCAUCUCUGUAGCAAGAUCCUGAAGGACUUGAGCUUAAUCCUCAUACCUGGUUCCUGCCUCGUGGCCAUGAGGGCUGACCCAGAGGAACUGGUGCUGUUAAUCUUGGUAGCAAAUCUUGCUUCCCAUCGGUUUUUUCUUUCCCCACAGUGCAGACAUGGAUCCUUGGAGCCACAGAGAUACAAUCCCAGUCAUGGAGGAACUAGCUGCUGCCUUGCCCUUCCAAUA